AAAUUGACACUAUUCAGCAAAAAUAAUUAAAUUUUCUUCCCUUCUCCAACUAUCAAUGCUUAUGUCAUAUCUCCAAACGCACUGAAACACUAUAUCUCAGAGAUGGAAUAGGUUGAUGAUUGGAGAAAUGGUAGAACAAUCACGUCAUCCGUCCACCACUUCGCCGGCGUUUCUUGUCUUUCUCUCCACAUACUCUAAUCUAAGACAGACGCUGGAUGAUCUCACACGUAAUGGUUUCUCUGUGGAAUAUCCCGUUCAGCGAAGGGGUAUUGCAUUAUCUCUGUUUAUGGGACUAUGAAGACUUGCUUUCUGGAGGAUGGCCUAACUGAAGAAGCCGUAGUCACCAAACUUCGUACUUUUUUUUUUUUGAGAAUUGAGGCAUGCUGAGUUUCACAUGUUCAAUUCCUGAUUUUACUUGUAUUUCAUCUGCAAAGGUUGCAUUUCAUUAUUCAAUUCAUUCUCACUGCAAAAUUCAUUGUCAAGAUUGAUUUGUCUUGUUGAAUUUUUAUCUCUGGAAACAUCACUCUCUUGCAGUGACACAAAACAAUCAUCACUCUUGUGUACUGACUGUUAACUCUUUUGAUUCUAGCAUAUAUUUUUCUGUACUAGCAGAGCUAACUGUCACGACCCGCCAGAUACCCCGGCAGAUCGCGACCCGUCCAGGCAGCUAGCAGCAGGCGCAAGGGGCAGACUGCCCAAGCAGGCCAGCAGGCAAAGGGGCAGGCAGCAGUUGGAGGGGCAACCGUUUCAGCAGUUUCAGCUGUUACAGCAGUUACAGCCGUUACAGCUGUUACAACAAUCAAUGGGGCGGCAGUUUUAAGCCUUGGAGAGGCUUGGCAGAACGUGGGGCAGACUAGUCAAGGCUAGGAGUCCCUUUUUGGAAGACUUAGGAGUCAUGCCUUAAGUGCAUGAACAUAGGGGCUUGUAUAGUUGUAUUUAUUUACUCUUAGUGGUUAGAGUAGUAUAAAUAGUAGGGUCAUUGUAUUUUGUAAAGCAUCCAACAAUCCACUAACAUAUCAAUACAAGUCUUUUCUUCCAAAAA